GAUGAAGAACGCAGCGAAAUGCGAUAAGUAAUGCGAAUUGCAGAAUCCGUGAAUCAUCGAAUCUUUGAACGCACAUUGCGCCCCUUGGUAUUCCAUGGGGCAUGCCUGUUCGAGCGUCAUUUGUACCUUCAAGCUUUGCUUGGUGUUGGGUGUUUGUCUCGCCUUUGCGUGUAGACUCGCCUUAAAAUAAUUGGCAGCCGGCGUAUUGAUUUCGGAGCGCAGUACAUCUCGCGCUUUGCACUCAUAACGACAGCGUCCAAAAGUACAUUUUACACUCUUGACCUCGGAUCAGGUAGGGAUACCCGCUGAACUUAAGCAUAUCAAUAAGCGGAGGA
rnacentral:misc_RNA from 1 species